AACCGUUCGGCAAUCACCAAUGGUCGAUGGUUCGGUGGCAACGAUGCUGCUGCUCAAACCAACUUGGAGCCGGCUCCUCAAGAAUCCGUGCGCAAUAUUGCGUCGGCAUCGGCUGAGGCGGGGNNNNNUGACGGUUGUCAAGGCGCAUGUUGCAUCCGGGUGUCACGAGAGUGAGUGCUGCCUUCGAAACCGAUCAACUGUUCUGGGCGCAACAAUCAUCGCAGGAGUCGACCCAUGGCGAAAUCAUCCAUCACGGGCGCGGGGGUCAGGCUUCGCAUUAACGGCUCCGAUCAUCUGUUGCAGAUCGAGCCGCGGGUCACGCUGUUAGAUGCUUUACGAGAAUACGUGCAUCUCAACGGUACCAAGAAGGGAUGCGAUCAGGGGCAGU
rnacentral:misc_RNA from 1 species